rnacentral:pre_miRNA from 1 species
AGCAGGAUGGCUGGGUCAAAUGGUGGUUCCAUUAUACUAUUUCUGAGGAAUCUCCAUGCUGCUUUCCAGAUUGGUUGCACCAAUUUGCAGUCCUACCAGCAAU